rnacentral:rRNA from 1 species
CCUACGGGAGGCAGCAGUAGGGAAUUUUCCGCAAUGGGCGAAAGCCUGACGGAGCAAUACCGCGUGAGGGAAGACUGCCUAUGGGUUGUAAACCUCUUUUUUCAGGGAGGAAUAAAAUGACGUGUACCUGAAGAAUAAGCAUCGGCUAACUCCGUGCCAGCAGCCGCGGUAA